rnacentral:tRNA from 1 species
UCCCGGGUGACCUAGUGGUUAAGGAUCCAGCGUUGUCACUGCUGUGGUGCAGGUUCGAUCCCUGGCCAGGGAA